GACGAACCGUGCGAACGUUGUUCGGAAUCACUGGGCUUAAAGGGCGCGUAGGCGGGCGGGCAAGUCAGGGGUGAAAUCCCACGGCUCAACCGUGGAAGGGCCCUUGAUACUGCCCAUCUCGAGGGAGGUAGGGGCGUGCGGAACUUCCGGUGGAGCGGUGAAAUGCGUAGAUAUCGGAAGGAACACCGGUGGCGAAAGCGGCGCGCUGGACCUCUUCUGACGCUGAGGCGCGAAAGCCAGGGGAGCAAACGGGAUUAGAUACCCCGGUAGUCCUGGCCCUAAACGUUGGGUACUAGGUAGUGGACUUACAUGGGUUCACUGCCGAAGCAAAAGUGUUAAGUACCCCGCCUGGGGAGUAUGGUCGCAAGGCUGAA
rnacentral:rRNA from 1 species